rnacentral:rRNA from 1 species
GAUGAACGCUGGCGGCGUGCCUAAUACAUGCAAGUCGAGCGAACAGACGAGGAGCUUGCGCCUCUGACGUUAGCGGAGGGCGGGUGAGUAACACGUGGAUAACCUACCUAUAAGACUGGGAUAACUUCGGGAAACCGGAGAUAAUACCAGAUAAUAUAUUGAACCGCAGGGGGCAAUGGAGAAAGACGGCUUUGCGGGCAGUAAUAGAUGGUUACGCGCCGCAUUAGCUAGUUGGUAAGGUAACGGCCUACCAAGGCAACGAUGCGUAGCCGACCUGAGAGGCUGAUCGGCCACACUGGAACUUAGACACGGUCCAUGCUCCUACGGUAGGCAGCAGUAGGCAAUCUGCCGCAAUGGUCGAAAGCUUUACGCAGCAACGCCGCGUGUGUUAUGAAGGUCUUCGGAUCGUAAUGCUCUGUUAUUAGUGAAGAACAACUUUGUAAUGUACUGUGCCGUUCUUGACGGUACCUAGUCAGGAAGCCACGGCUAACUACGUG